rnacentral:rRNA from 1 species
GAUGAACGCUGGCGGCGUGCCUAAUACAUGCAAGUCGAGCGAACGGACGAGAAGCUUGCUUCUCUGAUGUUAGCGGCGGACGGGUGAGUAACACGUGGAUAACCUACCUAUAAGACUGGGAUAACUUCGGGAAACCGGAGCUAAUACCGGAUGAUAUUUUGAACCGCAUGGUUCAAAAGUGAAAGACGGUCUUGCUGUCACUUAUAGAUGGAUCCGCGCUGCAUUAGCUAGUUGGUAAGGUAACGGCUUACCAAGGCAACGAUGCAUAGCCGACCUGAGAGGGGGUGGGCCAACCCGGGACCUGAGCACGGGCCAGACCACCACGGGGAGGAAGAGGAGGGAAAUCUUCCGAACGGGGCAAAAGCGUGAGGGGGAAACGCGGGGUGAGGGAGGAGGGUCUCGGAAACGAAAAACUCUUUUAUGAGGAAAAAACAUAUGUGAAAGUACCUGUGCACAUCUUAAGGGACCAAAAUCAGAAACCCCCGGAAAAUAACGGC